GGUGUUGGGGAGCAAGGUGUCAGGCACUGUGAUAGGACUGUGAGGGAAAGAGAAGGACUCAGCACAGGGCUAAGCUCCUAGCAGGCCCUGGCCAAAGGUGGCAAUGUCACAGCCAAGGGGCAAAGCACGAACAGUCAUUUUUUAGGGGAAUCAAGAGCAAAAGGGGAUAUUGCAGUCGUGGAGUAGAAGAAGUACAAAAGGCAUGAAGGAGCACAGUAGACUUCUGGAAUGACUGCCAGCUUGGUUUCCCAAACUGUGCCAGGAGAAGUGGAGAGGGAGCAGGAGCCAGAUCAUGAGUCACCUCUUCACAGAAGGAAUCUGGCUUUGUCCUGAUGGCAAAGAGGAGCCACCAGGCAGGCAGGGGAGCAACGGGGCCAGGAGAAAGUAUCUAUUGUUGCAAGAGAGAAUCAUCGACUCCAUUUCUGUCUCCUUGAAGAUGGAAGAAAGCUCUCAGUUUCAAAGAACUCCCUUAAGCGAUUAGUAUCAUUCCGUGUAGUGCUUACAGAGUCCUGGAUGGCAAACUUCUGAACACCGGAGAGACCCCUUGAACUUUCGAUUCUCUAUUUCAAAAGAAAUGAAAGAGACAGCAACUUAAUUCUUCACUAACAAAGUGCAAUCCAGCUCUGGUUUGGAGGCGGGGGGAGGAGUUGGGGGACACCGUCUCCAUUUCAUACACACUGCAAGUUGAUACAGGAUUCUUCAGCUGUGUCCCCUAAACUCCCUCCUCCCUGUUUGAGAAUGUCUGAGAAAACAGGAACGUGGAGUAGCGCCUGGCCCACUGUGAUCACUUGAGAGCUAGCCAUCCUCUGGGUUGGGCGUGAUCCCGGGGGGGGGCAUCGUGGUCAGCUCGGCUAAAAGUUCUGCAACAACCCCCAGAGGUUUUGACAGCCAGCUGUGGACUUCCUAUCUGGAGAGGCCCAAUCUUUAUGAGUUUUGCUAAGAGAGUGAACUGCUGUUUGGAUUACCUAGCAGUAAAUGCAGUAAAUUCCUUGGACUGAAAAUUAUAGUUGGGCUUCCGCCUUUGUUAAAUCAUUCAAAAGGCAAUGCAGGAGGCAGCUUCUUCAUUGACCCUCGGGGUCCCCACCCUCCUGGUUUUCACUGCAGGUGUACCUCCCUCCCCUUUAGCAUGGGCGGGAACUGACCCAGUGACUGACUUCUAACCAACAGAAUACGCGGCAAGAGUGAUGGGAUGUCACCGCCUAGAAGAGGUUAGGAAAAUUGUGACUUUCAUUGUGCUGCCUUCCCCUCCCUCCCCAAGCCCCUCCUCGUCUGUCUCCCUGGCUCUUCUCACUCUUAGGAAGCAAGCUGUCCAUGGACAUCCAGAUUGCCGCAAAACUGAGGAGGGCCAGUAGUCAACAGCUGACAGGUAACUAGGCCUGCAGCCCGACUACCCACAAAGAACUCAAUCUUGCCAAAAGCCAAGUGACUGAGCUUCCAAGAGUUUAAUCUUGCUGCCACGCCUUAAGAGGACACAGGUCAUCCUGUCUUGAUUACAGCCUCUGAGGGAUCCUGAACCAGAAGACCCAGCUACGCUACGUGCAGAUGCCUGGCCCACAGAGAACGUGAGAUAAUACAUGUUGUCAUCUAAAGCCGUUCGGUUUAGGGGAAAUUUGCUGUGCAGCCAAAGAUAACUAAUGCGGGCACUUUUUACCUGAAGGAGUCACCCAAAGAACUGUGGGGGUCAAGGACAGUACUGCAGACAUAUAGGCAACAGAAACUAGAUUUAAAAAUACAUAAUCAAAAAACAUCCCAUUAACCAUAGCCAGAGGAAUGAAAUCCUCAGAGGUAAUUUCAGUAAGAAAUAUGUAAGGCUAUUUGUGUCAAAGUACAAAAUACUAUUGGAAAGUAUAAAAUAAUACUUGAGUCA